GGCAAAUUGGUUAAAUAUUAAAAUGACACAUUUAUAAUAUAUAAUUUAAUAUAUUAAAAUUAAUUAUAUAAAUAUUAAAAAAAAUUAAUACACUAAUAUUAAUAUUUAAAAGAACAUUAAUUACAUAAUAUGAAUUUAAUAUUUGUUGAACAAUAUUUAGGAUGAACAGUAUACCAAUUCAUUCUUGGUUGAAUCUUAAACUUUUAACCCUUUGUUUUCACUAGUUCUCAAACCGAGCCAGGCUUAAAACCAUGGUUGAAAUCUAGAAGAAAUCUUAGUGCAUAAUUUUCAAAUCGAGCUGUUGGAGCCUGCAUGAAACCAUAGUUAGAUUUGUUUUCUCACUGAAUUGGGUUGGGAUUGGAAAGUGGGAAACCAGGAGGAAGCUACAUGCAAUAUUGGCAAUCUUUGCAUCCAUUUGAUGUAAAGACCUUUUUUUUUGGGUAGAAGCAACAAGAAGAAGAGUUUGGGCAGGAGAGGUCUCUUCAUGGUCAACUACUCUAUUUUUGUCCUGGGCUAUAAUGUGAGCUUUAUACCUAUCAAGAGUGGCAUCAGAUUUCACUUCAAUAAUAUAUACCCAUUUACCGCCAAUCACAGAAGCAUCACUAGGAUUAGGGAUACAAUCCCAUGUGUGAUUGGCCUGGAGAAUUUAGUCUCCAACGCGCAUGCUCUGCUGCUUGUUUAUAGGUAGAAGAAAUGAAAAUGGAACUGAUGUUAGUGAACAAAAAAGGACAUUGUACACGUGAGUAAAUGUUGCCCAAAGUUGGGUGAAGUGGAACAACAGAUAGUGUAAUAUCACUAAAGCGUUGAUUACAGGAACAUGAGAAGAAUAAUUAGUUGCCAUGAUUGUCGUUUCCAGUUCCAAUUGAAGUGUGGAAGUAUUUGGGAGAUAUGGGAGUGGCAU
rnacentral:misc_RNA from 1 species